rnacentral:misc_RNA from 1 species
CCACUCCAUCUUCCUACAGGCGGAUCGCUAGUCUCGUAUCUUCUACAGCUCAAUCCACAACAGAUGUCCCUAAUGGUGAUGGGACAUCUCACAACUAAAUUUCCUUGUAAUACUUUUUACCUAGUAGUUUAGUGAAUAUAAAUAGCUAGUAAGUUCUUUGCACUUAAGCCUUUCUGGAAUGAUAAUAACAUCGUCUUAAUUGCAUCCAAUUGCGUUUCAUUAUUACUAAAUUUUUUUUUGACAAUACAUGACUUGAGUAAAACCACACCGUCUA